rnacentral:lncRNA from 1 species
UUGCGUUCCCUCUUUUAAAUGUGUACAACAUUGCGCAUCAUUCCUCCCCCCCUUUUUUUUUACACAUAUCAAAAUGCGAACUCCAUUAUACAUACAAUGCAGACAGAUACAACAAACUUAUCCUGGAUGAAGUUCAUAUUUCAUAGCACUUUUCAAUAAAGUAUUUAUAAAGUUAAAGAUAAUACAAAAAUUAAAUCAACC